AGUAGUCAUAUGCUUGUCUUAAGGAUUAAGCCAUGCAUGUGUAAGUAUAAACCGUAUACAGUGAGACUGCGAAUGGCUCAUUAAAACAGUUAUAGUUUAUUUGACGAUUCUCUACAUGGAUAACCGUGGUAAUUCUAGGGCUAAUACAUGCUGAAGGACCCGACUUUCGGGAAGGGUUGUAUUUAUUAGAUUUCAAACCGCCGCCCUCGGGCGCCGUGGCGAGUCAUAGUAACUGGUCGGAUCGCGUUCGUCGCGAUGGGUCAUUCAAGUUUCUGCCCUAUCAGCUUUCGAUGGUAGUGUAUUGGACUACCAUGGCAGUCACGGGUAACGGGGAAUUAGGGUUCGAUUCCGGAGAGGGAGCCUGAGAAACGGCUACCACAUCUAAGGAAGGCAGCAGGCGCGUAAAUUACCCAAUCCCGACUCGGGGAGGUAGUGACAAGAAAUAACAACUCGGGGGCCAUCGGCUCUACGAGAUUGAAAUGAGGACAAUUUAAAUCCCUUAUCGAGGAACAAUUGGAGGGCAAGUCUGGUGCCAGCAGCCGCGGUAAUUCCAGCUCCAAUAGCGUAUAUUAAAGUUGUUGCAGUUAAAAAGCUCGUAGUUGAAGGUCUGGCCGGGUGACAUUGUGGCUUCGGUCGUGUGGCACACGGCCAUCCGCCCCCCGAACCACGCUCGGUCUUCACUGAUCGACGUGGGGAGACGGCGAUUUACUUUGAAAAAACUAGAGUGUUUCAGGCAGGCGAGCGCCGGGAUACAUUAGCAUGGAAAUAAUGGAAUAGGACUGCGGUCCGCGUCGCUGGUUACGGGCCGCGUAAUGGUUAACAGGAACGGUUGGGGGCAUUUAGUAUUUAAUUGUCAGAGGUGAAAUUCUUGGGAUUUAUUAAAAGACUCACGUGUGCGAAAGCAUUUGCCAAGGAUGUUUUUCAUUAAUCAAGAACGAAAGUUAGGGGAUCAAAGACGAUCAGAUACCGUCCUAGUCUUAACUAUAAACCAUACCGACUCGGGAUCGGCGGGGUCUCGUGGCCCCGUCGGCACCGUAUGAGAAAUCAAAGUCUUUGGGUUCUGGGGGGAGUAUGGUCGCAAGUCUGAAACUUAAAGGAAUUGACGGAAGGGCACCACCAGGAGUGGAGCCUGCGGCUUAAUUUGACUCAACACGGGGAAACUUACCAGGGCAAAACAUGGGUGGGAUUGACAGAUUGAGAGCUCUUUCUUGAUUCUAUGGGUGGUGGUGCAUGGCCGUUCUUAGUUGGUGGAGUGAUUUGUCUGGUUAAUUCCGAUAACGAACGAGACCUUAACCUGCUAACUAGGCCCGUGCCCUCAGGCGCGGCGCCUUCUUAGAGGGACUGCGUGCAGUAAGCUCGCGGAAGUUUGAGGCAAUAACAGGUCUGUGAUGCCCUUAGAUGUCCUGGGCCGCACGCGCGCUACACUGGUGCGUUCAGCGAGUACCUGACCCGGAAGGGUGCGGGCAAUCUCGGCAGUACGCACCGUGCUGGGGAUCGAUCUUUGGAACUAUAGAUCUUGAACGAGGAAUUCCUAGUAAGCACAGGUCAUCAACCCGUGCUGAUUACGUCCCUGCCCUUUGUACACACCGCCCGUCGCUCCUACCGAUUUCGAGUGAUCCGGUGAACCUUCUGGACUGCGCCGGCCUUGAGCCGUGCGCGGGAAGUUAAGUAAACCUUAUCACUUAGAGGAAGGAG
rnacentral:rRNA from 1 species